rnacentral:rRNA from 1 species
UACGUAGGGUGCGAGCGUUGUCCGGAAUUAUUGGGCGUAAAGAGCUUGUAGGCGGUUUGUCGCGUCUGCUGUGAAAAUCCGGGGCUCAACCCCGGACUUGCAGUGGGUACGGGCAGACUAGAGUGUGGUAGGGGGAGACUGGAAUUCCUGGUGUAGCGGUGAAAUGCGCAGAUAUCAGGAGGAACACCGGUGGCGAAGGCGGGUCUCUGGGCCGAUACUGACGCUGAGGAGCGAAAGCGUGGGGAGCGAACAGG